rnacentral:rRNA from 1 species
UACGUAGGGUGCGAGCGUUAAUCGGAAUUACUGGGCGUAAGGCGUGCGCAGGCGGUUUGUUAAGCCAGAUGUGAAAGCCCCGGGCUCAACCUGGGAACUGCGUUUGGUACUGGCAAGCUAGAGUACGGCAGAGGGGGGUGGAAUUCCACGUGUAGCAGUGAAAUGCGUAGAGAUGUGGAGGAACACCGAUGGCGAAGGCAGCCCCCUGGGCCGAUACUGACGCUCAGGCACGAAAGCGUGGGGAGCAAACAGG